rnacentral:rRNA from 1 species
GCUUGCUAUCAGGCGUCGAGCGGCGGACGGGUGAGUAAUACUUAGGAAUCUACCUAGUAGUGGGGGAUAGCACGGGGAAACUCGUAUUAAUACCGCAUACGACCUACGGGAGAAAGGGGGCAGUUUACUGCUCUCGCUAUUAGAUGAGCCUAAGUCGGAUUAGCUAGAUGGUGGGGUAAAGGCCUACCAUGGCGACGAUCUGUAGCUGGUCUGAGAGGAUGAUCAGCCACACCGGGACUGAGACACGGCCCGGACUCCUACGGGAGGCAGCAGUGGGGAAUAUUGGACAAUGGGGGAAACCCUGAUCCAGCCAUGCCGCGUGUGUGAAGAAGGCCUUUUGGUUGUAAAGCACUUUAAGCAGUGAAGAAGACUCUUCGGUUAAUACCCGGAGACGAUGACAUUAGCUGCAGAAUAAGCACCGGCUAACUCUGUGCCAGCAGCCGCGGUAAUACAGAGGGUGCAAGCGUUAAUCGGAAUUACUGGGCGUAAAGGGAGCGUAGGUGGCUCUAUAAGUCAGAUGUGAAAUCCCCGGGCUUAACCUGGGAACUGCAUCUGAAACUGUAGAGCUAGAGUAUGUGAGAGGGAGGUAGAAUUUCAGGUGUAGCGGUGAAAUGCGUAGAGAUCUGAAGGAAUACCGAUGGCGAAGGCAGCCUCCUGGCAUAAUACUGACACUGAGGCUCGAAAGCGUGGGUAGCAAACAGGAUUAGAUACCCUGGUAGUCCACGCCGUAAACGAUGUCUACUAGUCGUUGGGUCCCUUGAGGACUUAGUGACGCAGCUAACGCAAUAAGUAGACCGCCUGGGGAGUACGGCCGCAAGGUUAAAACUCAAAUGAAUUGACGGGGGCCCGCACAAGCGGUGGAGCAUGUGGUUUAAUUCGAUGCAACGCGAAGAACCUUACCUGGUCUUGACAUAUCUAGAAUCCUGCAGAGAUGCGGGAGUGCCUUCGGGAAUUAGAAUACAGGUGCUGCA